rnacentral:rRNA from 1 species
GGGCCCGCACAAGCGGUGGAGUAUGUGGUUUAAUUCGAUGCAACGCGAAGAACCUUACCAGGGUUUGACAUCCUGCGAAUCUCUUGGAAACUUGAGAGUGCCUUCGGGAGCGCAGUGACAGGUGGUGCAUGGCUGUCGUCAGCUCGUGUCGUGAGAUGUUGGGUUAAGUCCCGUAACGAGCGCAACCCUUGUCCUUAGUUGCCAGCACAUUAUGGUGGGAACUCUAAGGGGACUGCCGGUUAUAAACCGGAGGAAGGUGGGGAUGACGUCAAGUCAGCAUGCCCCUUACACCCUGGGCUACACACGUGCUACAUUGGGCGAGACAAUGAGAUGCAAAUCUGUGAAGACUAGCUAAUCUAUAAACUCGUUCUAAGUUCGGAUUGUAGGCUGCAACUCGCCUACAUGAAGGUGGAAUC